rnacentral:rRNA from 1 species
AACUUUCAACAAAGGAUCUCUUGGCUCUCACAUCGAUGAAGAACGCAGCGAAGCGCGAAAUGUAGUGUGAAUCGCAGAACUUGUGAAUCAUCGAAUCUUUGAACGCACAUUGCGCCUCCCGUCACAGGGAGGCAUGCCUGUCUGAGCGUCAUUU